CCUACGGGUGGCAGCAGUGAGGAAUAUUGGUCAAUGGCCGGAAGGCUGAUCCAGCCAUGCCGCGUGAAGGUCAGUGCCCUAUGGGCUUUACACUUCUUUUGUGCGGGCGCAAUAAUGGUCACGUUUGGCCAGACGAGAGUACCGUACGCAUAAGCAUCGUCUAACUCCGUGCCAUCAGCCUCGGUAAGAAGGGGGAUGCAAGCGUUAUCCGGAUUUAUUGGGUGUACAGGGAGCGUAGGCUGUGAGGUAAGUCAGCGGUGAAAGUCCCCCGCUCAACGGGGUGAAGUGCCAUUGAUACUGCCUUGCUGGAAUGCGGAUGCCGUGGGAGGAAUGUGUGGUGUAGCGGUGAAAUGCAUAGAUAUCACACAGAACACCGAUUGCGAAGGCAUCUCACGAAUCCGCGAUUGACGCUGAUGCACGAAAGCGUGGGUAUCAAACAGGAUUAGAUACCCCUGUAGUC
rnacentral:rRNA from 1 species